rnacentral:rRNA from 1 species
UCGAGAAUUUUUCUCAAUGGGGGAAACCCUGAAGGAGCGACGCCGCGUGGAGGAUGAAGGUCUUCGGAUUGUAAACUCCUGUCAUUGGGGAACAAGUCGCUUACGUUAACUGCGUGAGCGUUGAUAGUACCCGAAGAGGAAGAGACGGCUAACUCUGUGCCAGCAGCCGCGGUAAUACAGAGGUCUCAAGCGUUGUUCGGAUUCAUUGGGCGUAAAGGGUGCGUAGGCGGCGCGGUAAGUCGGGUGUGAAAUCUCGGAGCUUAACUCCGAAACUGCAUUCGAUACUGCCGUGCUUGAGGACUGGAGAGGAGACUGGAAUUUACGGUGUAGCGGUGAAAUGCGUAGAUAUCGUAAGGAAGACCAGUGGCGAAGGCGGGUCUCUGGACAGUUCCUGACGCUGAGGCACGAAGGUCAGGGGAGCAAACGGGAUUAGAUACCCCCGUAGUCC